ACAGAGGGUGCGAGCGUUAGUCGGAUUUACUGGGCGUAAAGCGUGCGUAGGCGGCUAAUUGAGUCGGAUGUGAAAUCCCCGAGCUUAACUUGGGAAUUGCAUUCGAUACUGGUUAGCUAGAGUGUGGGAGAGGAUGGUAGAAUUCCAGGUGUAGCGGUGAAAUGCGUAGAGAUCUGGAGGAAUACCGAUGGCGAAGGCAGCCAUCUGGCCUAACACUGACGCUGAGGUACGAAAGCAUGGAGAGCAAACAG
rnacentral:rRNA from 1 species